rnacentral:rRNA from 1 species
UGGGGAAUUUUGGACAAUGGGCGAAAGCCUGAUCCAGCAAUGCCGCGUGUGUGAAGAAGGCCUUCGGGUUGUAAAGCACUUUUGUCCGGAAAGAAAUCCUUGGCUCUAAUACAGUCGGGGGAUGACGGUACCGGAAGAAUAAGCACCGGCUAACUACGUGCCAGCAGCCGCGGUAAUACGUAGGGUGCAAGCGUUAAUCGGAAUUACUGGGCGUAAAGCGUGCGCAGGCGGUUUGCUAAGACCGAUGUGAAAUCCCCGGGCUCAACCUGUGAACUGCAUUGGUGACUGGCAGGCUAGAGUAUGGCAGAGGGGGGUAGAAUUCCACGUGUAGCAGUGAAAUGCGUAGAGAUGUGGAGGAAUACCGAUGGCGAAGGCAGCCCCUGGGCCAAUACUGACGCUCAUGCACGAAAAGCGUGGGGAGCAAAACAGGAUUAGAUACCCUGGUAGUCCACGCCCUAAAACGAUGUCAACUAGUUGUUGGGGGAUUCAUUUCCUUAGUAACGUAGCUAACGCGUGAAGUUGACCGCCUGGGGGAGUACGGUCGCAAGAUUAAAAACUCAAAGG